rnacentral:ncRNA from 21 species
UUUACCUCAAGCAUAAAGAUGUCAUCCAAGUAGCCAACACUGGGAUCCAGAAAAAUUGACUAUAAACAAGUAUGCUGUUUCGAUGAAAUUGUGUAAUAGAAACUAGAUUCCAGUGUCAGCUACUUGCAUGACACCAAGUUUGUGUUUAUA